rnacentral:rRNA from 1 species
UACGGAGGGUGCAAGCGUUGUCCGGAAUCACUGGGCGUAAAGGGCGCGUAGGCGGCUCAUGAAGGCUGUGGUGAAAGUCCGGGGCUCAACCUCGGAUCGGCCGUGGCGACUCGUGGGCUGGAGCACUGUAGAGGCGGGUGGAAUUCCGGGGUGUAGUGGUGAAAUGCGUAGAGAUCCGGAGGAACACCAGUGGCGAAGGCGACACGCUGGGCCGUACCUGACACUGAUGCGCGACAGCAUGGGGAGCAAACAGG